rnacentral:rRNA from 1 species
GAUGAACGCUGGCGGCGUGCCUAAUACAUGCAAGUCGAACGCGCAGCGAAAGGUGCUUGCACCUUUCAAGCGAGUGGCGAACGGGUGAGUAACACGUGGAUAACCUGCCUCAAGGCUGGGGAUAACAUUUGGAAACAGAUGCUAAUACCGAAUAAAACUUAGUAUCGCAUGAUACAAAGUUAAAAGGCGCUACGGCGUCACCUAGAGAUGGAUCCGCGGUGCAUUAGUUAGUUGGUGGGGUAAAGGCUUACCAAGACGAUGAUGCAUAGCCGAGUUGGGAGGCGGAUCGGCCACAUUGGGACUGAGACACGGCCCAAACUCCUACGGGAGGCUGCAGUAGGGAAUCUUCCACAAUGGGCGCAAGCCUGAUGGAGCAACGCCGCGUGUGUGAUGAAGGCUUUCGGGUCGUAAAGCACUGUUGUAUGGGAAGAAAUGCUAAAAUAGGGAAUGAUUUUAGUUUGACGGUACCAUACCAGAAAGGGACGGCUAAAUACGUGCCAGCAGCCGCCGUAA